UGAGUAACGCGUAUCCAACCUGGCCCCCUCUCCGGGACCAGCCCCUCGAAAGAGGGAUUAAUACCGGAUGUUCCCUUUAUGCCGCAUGGCGUGAUGGGCAAAGGCUUCGGUCGGAAGGGGAUGGGAUGCGUUCCAUUAGGCAGCCGGCGGGGUAACGGCCCACCGGGCCUUCGAUGGAUAGGGUUCUGAGAGGAAGGUCCCCCCACACUGGUACUGAGACACGGACCAGACUCCUACGGGAGGCAGCAGUGAGGAAUAUUGGUCAAUGGCCGGGAGGCUGAACCAGCCAAGUAGCGUGAGGGAUGACGGCCCUAUGGUCUUAAACCUCUUUUGUUGGGGAGCAAAGUGGUCCACUUGUGGGCUAUUGCGAGUACCCUUCGAAUAAGCAUCGGCUAACUCCGUGCCAGCAGCCGC
rnacentral:rRNA from 1 species